rnacentral:misc_RNA from 1 species
GAAAUGCGAUACUUGGUGUGAAUUGCAGAAUCCCGUGAACCAUCGAGUCUUUGAACGCAUAUUGCGCUCUUCGGAAUACCAAAGAGCGCAAUAUGCGUUCAAAGAUUCGAUGAUUCACUGAAUUCUGCAAUUCACAUUACGUAUCGCAUUUCGCUGCGUUCUUCAUCGAUGCACUGGAAGCAAGCU